GGAUAGCUCAGUUGGAAGAGCAUGAGACUCAUGAUCUCAGGGACGUGGGUUUGAGCGCCAUGUUGGGCA